UAAUACAGAGGUCCCGAGCGUUGUUCGGAUUCACUGGGCGUAAAGGGUGCGUAGGUGGCGUGGUAAGUUUGAUGUGAAAGCUCAGGGCUUAACCCUGAAAUGGCAUUGAAUACUACUAUGCUGGAGGUUUGGAGGGGGGACUGGAAUUCUUGGUGUAGCAGUGAAAUGCGUAGAUAUCAAGAGGAACACCAGUGGCGAAGGCGAGUCCCUGGACAACACCUGACACUGAGGCACGAAAGCUAGGGGAGCAAACAGGAUUAGAUACCCUGGUAGUCCUAGCCCUAAACGGUGCACGCUUGCUGUAAGAGGAAUCGACCCCUCUUGUGGCGAAGCUAACGCGAUAAGCGUGCCGCCUGGGGAGUACGGUCGCAAGAUUA
rnacentral:rRNA from 1 species